UGGGGAAUAUUGCACAAUGGGCGCAAGCCUGAUGCAGCCAUGCCGCGUGUGUGAAGAAGGCCUUCGGGUUGUAAAGUACUUUCAGUCGGGAGGAAGGUGGUAAGGUUAAUAACCUUAUCAAUUGACGUUACCGACAGAAGAAGCACCGGCUAACUCCGUGCCAGCAGCCGCGGUAAUACGGAGGGUGCAAGCGUUAAUCGGAAUUACUGGGCGUAAAGCGCACGCAGGCGGUUGAUUGAGUCAGAUGUGAAAUCCCCGGGCUUAACCCGGGAAUUGCAUCUGAUACUGGUCAGCUAGAGUCUUGUAGAGGGGGGUAGAAUUCCAUGUGUAGCGGUGAAAUGCGUAGAGAUGUGGAGGACUACCGGUGGCGAAGGCGGCCCCCUGGACAAAGACUGACGCUCAGGUGCGAAAGCGUGGGGAGCAAACAGG
rnacentral:rRNA from 1 species